CGCAGCCGCGGUAAUACGGAGGGUGCAAGCGUUAAUCGGAAUUACUGGGCGUAAAGCGCACGCAGGCGGUCUGACAAGUCAGAUGUGAAAUCCCCGGGCUUAACCUGGGAACUGCAUUUGAAACUGUCAGGCUGGAGUCUUGUAGAGGGGGGUGGAAUUCCAGGUGUAGCGGUGAAAUGCGUAGAGAUCUGGAGGAAUACCGGUGGCGAAGGCGGCCCCCUGGACAAAGACUGACGCUCAGGUGCGAAAGCGUGGGGAGCAAACAGGAUUAGAUACCCCGGUAGUCCCUGUCUCUUAUACA
rnacentral:rRNA from 1 species